AACGAACGCUGGCGGCAUGCCUAACACAUGCAAGUCGAACGAGACCUUCGGGUCUAGUGGCGCACGGGUGCGUAACGCGUGGGAACCUGCCCUUAGGUUCGGAAUAACUCCCCGACAGGGGUGCUAAUACCGGAUAAUGUCUUCGGACCAAAGAUUUAUCGCCUUUGGAUGGGCCCGCGUUGGAUUAGCUAGUUGGUAGGGUAAAAGCCUACCAAGGCGACGAUCCAUAGCUGGUCUGAGAGGAUGGUCAGCGACACUGGGACUGAGACACGGCCCAGACUCCUACGGGAGGCAGCAGUGGGGAAUAUUGGACAAUGGGCGAAAGCCUGAUCCAGCAAUGCCGCGUGAGUGAUGAAGGCCUUAGGGUUGUAAAGCUCUUUUACCCGGGAUGAUAAUGACAGUACCGGGAGAAUAAGCUCCGGCUAACUCCGUG
rnacentral:rRNA from 1 species